rnacentral:ncRNA from 1 species
GGGAUACACUUAGAGUCCCCUGUGCAUGGGUGUUAAUAGUGGCACUUUUGGCCGAGUGACACGGUUAGUGAAUC